rnacentral:misc_RNA from 1 species
GCACUCCCCAACGAAUGCCUCACCAAGAUCGCCGCCGACUCCACCGCCGCCCUCUCCUGGGUCAAAUCCAACGUCCAAUGCUACCUACCCAAAACGAAGAUCUCCGCCAUCACCGUCGGCAAUGAAGCCCUCACUAGCAACGACACCGCCCUCGCCGCCGCCCUCCUCCCCGCAAUGCAGGCCGUCGCCGCGGCCGUCGCCGCUCUCAAGCUCGACGUCACCGUCACCACCGCCCACUCAGUCGCUGUUCUCGCCACCUCCUACCCACCUUCCUCCGGCACAUUUAGAAAGGAACUUUUAACCUACCUCUGCCCG